rnacentral:rRNA from 1 species
UACGUAGGGGGCAAGCGUUGUCCGGAAUUAUUGGGCGUAAAGAGCUCGUAGGCGGCUUGGCAAGUCGGGUGUGAAAACUCCAGGCUCAACCUGGAGAUGCCACUCGAGACUGCUAUGGCUAGAGUCCGGUAGGGGACCACGGAAUUCCUGGUGUAGCGGUGAAAUGCGCAGAUAUCAGGAGGAACACCGGUGGCGAAGGCGGUGGUCUGGGCCGGCACUGACGCUGAGGAGCGAAAGCGUGGGGAGCAAACAGG